UACGAAGGGGGCUAGCGUUGCUCGGAAUCACUGGGCGUAAAGGGUGCGUAGGCGGGUCUUUAAGUCAGGGGUGAAAUCCUGGAGCUCAACUCCAGAACUGCCUUUGAUACUGAAGAUCUUGAGUUCGGGAGAGGUGAGUGGAACUGCGAGUGUAGAGGUGAAAUUCGUAGAUAUUCGCAAGAACACCAGUGGCGAAGGCGAGUCCCUGGACAACACCUGACACUGAGGCACGAAAGCUAGGGGAGCAAACAGG
rnacentral:rRNA from 1 species